rnacentral:misc_RNA from 1 species
GAUGAAGAACGUAGCGAAAUGCGAUACUUGGUGUGAAUUGCAGAAUCCCGUGAACCAUCGAGUCUUUGAACGCAAGUUGCGCCCGAAGCCAUUAGGCCGAGGGCACGCCUGCCUGGGCGUCACACGUCGUUGCCCCCCCAUCUACUCCUUCGGGAUUGCGGGGGGCGGAUGAUGGCCUCUCGUGCGCCUCGUCGCGCGGUUGGCCUAAAUGCCAAGUCCUCGGCGACGCACGUCACGACAAUCGGUGGUUGCGAAACCUCGGUUGCCUGUCGUGUGCGGUCGUCGCGCAUCGAGGGCUCGAAAAAAUUGCCGGGCUUCGGCUCGACUUUCAACGCGACCCCAGGUCAGGCGGGGUUACCCGCUGAAUUUAAGCAUAUCAAUAAGCGGAGGA